rnacentral:rRNA from 2 species
CCCAGAAGAAAUCUGGGGUGUAACCUGCCCAGUGGAUUCUAAGAAAACUCUAAACAGUUUAGAGGAAUCUUAAAGGACGCAGUAACCUGACUGUGAUAAAGUAGCAUAAUCAUUCGCCAUUUAAUUGAUGGAUAGUAUGAAUGGUCAAACGAACCCCUCACUGUCUAAGAAAGAGAAGUCAUGAAAUUAAAAUAAUAGUUAAGAUGCUAUUUAAAAUUGUAAGACGAAAAGACCCUAUAGAGCUUGACUAUAAUUUCUUUAAAAAUAAAGGAUCCUUCCUUAAAACAAAGAAGACGGUAGUUUAGUUGGGGCGACUGCCUUUUAAAAAUAACAAAGGUAAGCUAUGUUAAUAAUAAACUUAUUGUAUAAUCCAUAAAUUUAACAAUUACUACAGUAGGCUAUAAUGACCCGUUUAAACCUAGUAACAGGUUCAACGACUAAUAAAUAAAAGUUACCUUAGGGAUAACAGAACAAUCUUAUCUCAGAGACCUCAUCUAAGAUAAGGCUUGUCACCUCUAUGUUGAAUUAAGAUAUCCCGGCUGAGCAAAAACCGCCAAAGGUAGGUCUGUUCGACCUUUAAAAU